rfam:Candidatus Methanoregula boonei 6A8, complete genome.
GCCAGGAUGGCGGAAAGGCUACGCGGCUGACUGCAGAUCAGCGUAUCCCGGUUCGAUUCCGGGUCCUGGCU